ACCCGCGCCUCCUCCGGGCCGCAGUUCGUGUCUUCUCGGCGAAGCGGGAAAGAGCCGCCGGCUGCUCCUGCGGCUGAGGCCUUGCCCCGACGCAGCUUCCCCGCUUCCUCUGCAGUCUGGACGCCUCACCUUGAACUCUAGAGAGGUUUUUCAAUGCUCUCUAUCCAUAGCUCCUUCCAGGAGCGCCACCACUUGUCUGCGAGCGCUCGGCCUUAUUGAAGCUUAGUAGUUUCCACUGGCUUUCAAAGAGCUUUAUGAAGUACAUCCUUUACAUCCUGUUGAUGCGGCCAUUUCUGAAUAAUUAAUCUGAAAGUGCUUUGAGCUUCUCUGUCAUCGUGUUACCAUUCUUCUAGAAGAAGACAGAGAAUAAAGUUUUUGUGUGCUUGGUCUGACUGGCCAAAAACUAAAGGACAGAGAUACGGGCUUUCACAGACGUUAUUGCUGGAUUAAAUUCUCAACUCCAGAGGAAGCUCAGAAUGUGUUACAGAAGGACUCUCACAUUCUUGAAGGUUCCAAGCUCACUCUCAAACAGCAGAUCCGU